CUUGUGGAUGCUAAACUUGUCUCGUUGGAAUCUAUAAUCUAUAGCAUUGCACGGUUUGUUUGUCAAAAACUUGAAUCCUUUACUUACGCUCAAAUAUCCUUUUGUGCCUUAGGAGGAUUGACAAACCAAGAUUACUGGAUGCAGUGUAGAAGAUGCUGGUUCUUUGGGCACAGAAGAAACUCCCUCUGCUCUUGUCACAGCGCCGCAAUCACACAAAUUUGAUUGACGACGAUGAAGCAAUAGUCAUGGAGGAGGUAUGUGACUCCUGAAGAAAAAGGGGAUCUAUGGUCGAUUGCUGCUUCGCGACGAGGUGUGAUUCUCCUUGAAUAUGUGGGUGAGCCCAAAUUGUACGCGGGAGCUCUCCGGUCACCAUUGCUGCUGACUGCUGAGGAGGAUUCACAAACCAAGGCUACUGGAGAGUGUUGUGGACGCUGGUCUAGCGGGCACAAGAGAAACUCCCUCCUCUCUUGUCUCAGCAGUCACAAUCUUGCAAUUUCUUUUAUCAAUGGCGGUGAAGCAGAAGUGUCAGAGAUAGAGAGGGCCUUUUUACUUUGUUGUAAUUCGGGGAUAAUAAGAACUGUUUUGCAAGCAAAAUUUUCUUAUGAGAUGAGCCUUUUGUCUGAAUUGUGUUUGCGAAAAUUGUUUGUAUGUGUUGGUUAUGGGUAUGAAAUGGCAUGUGCUAGUUCCAUGUACUAGCUAUAUAUA